CAGUGAGGGCCCUUCAACAUCUCCUGACUUAGUCUACAAAGCCUACAUGUUACUCCAGUAUCAGAAGGGUGGCAGAACCUGGCAGGGAGUGUGUUGCAUCUGAAAAGUCCCAUGUUUGUAUGGGACUCUUGGACUUGUGGCCAGAGCAUUACAAAUGCAGCUGUUUCAAGAGUAAGGAAGUUUGCUGAUCUGCACGCUUAAGAAGCUGGCUUUGUUUCUGGUGUAACAAUGGGCGACUCCAAAUUACAGAAGAGGAGGUAGAGCAUUCACAUCUACUUCCAGAAUUAUCAUCAGGACUAUGUGUUUUGCCCUCCACUGAUAAGAGGUUCAAAUAAGUGGUUUGUCUGAAAGAAGAGCACUCCAGAGGUACUUUCAGCUAUGGCAAAGCCUAACCUAGGGGAAAAGGAUAUGGACAAUAUUGUCUUCUCACUUGAUUCACUAUAUGCACCAUCACCUCUUGACCAGGUUUUGGCUGUGAUACUUUGAGAUGCUAGAGCUCAGUUUGCUUGCAUUCUUCCAUGAGAAUUUGGUUCUGCAUUGUCACAGCAGGAAGGUAAUCAUUGACUGGGUCUUGAAUGCUUGUAAGAACCUGACCUAUCCCUCGGCUGAUUCUCUGCCCAUAAGACCCACUGCUGUGUUUGGCUGAGACUGUCUGACCUCUGUAGACUUGAGCCUGAUGCUCACAAAUACCGAACUUGCUUAGCAGGAUAAACACAUCUCUGCGGAAAGCUUUAGUGAAAAUAGCAUAAAGAAAGGGGUUGGCACAAGAAUUGAGUGGGUAGAAAAGUACCAGCAAAAUCUUGGAAUUGGAGACAGUUAUUAAUGGUUUGUUCAUAAUGGCAGAUAAAGCAUGGAAAGAGAUGGGAGCCAUGCACAGAAAGUCUGUGAAAAUCAGCACAGCCAUCCGCUUGGCAAUUUUGGUGUCUUUGUCCCCUGACUUGUACUGGGGGUUUCGCACAGUCGUGUAGAUUUUUAUGUAGCAGGCACAA